GGAGCUUUGCUGAAACUGCACAAAAAAAUCGAGCUGGGGGGUUCCCUGGUCCCCGAUGUUGGGGCGGAGAGCGCGGCGCCCAGGGAGGGGGCGGCGCAGACCGGCCUAGGGGACACCUGGUCGAGCGCAGCCGCCGCUCCGCUCGAGCCCUGCGCUCCAGUGCCCCCACUGGCUGGAGAGCUCGCCCAGACCAGGGGUCUUCCUCCGUCGCUGACAGAUUUUAACCGUUAGAAGAGUACCAGUUCUGGAAAACAACCAAAGUUUCUUUGAUUGAAUGCCCAUGUAAUGCAUUGGAAUAUGAUAGGCGAUUAAGGUUUAACAAUGUUAAAAUGAAGAUAUUACUAAAAUGACCCUCUAAAUAGCCCAACAAUUAUUAUUUUCUUUGUCCUGUGGAUUUGGCUUUGAAGGGUGUGCUGCUCUUAAUAAGUGUGUAGUCAUUAAGCCCAGAACCUCAGAGGGCUCUACUACUAAACCAUAUACCAAUACCAAAACCGGAAAAUAUUGAUGCUACUUUUGUGCUGAAUAUUCCUCAGCCUUACCUUACUAAUGCUUAUGCCCAAUGGAUCUUCCUUCAUGAAGCACCCUCUCCUCCCCCCAUUUAUCUUCGGUGAUUCUAAUAAAUAAUACCUUUGGAAAA
rnacentral:lncRNA from 1 species